UCGUCCUCCACAUUACGCCGCAGACCAACUGAGACCGUGCCGCUGCUUAGGCACGUCACCUUGAUUCCCUGCCUCGCCAGAGACUUCCCCAGCGCGAUGGUUGGAAGAAGGUGCCCAGGAGCGGGCAUGGUGAGCAUCAACACAUGAGGCUUAGGUUGCGGCACAGGCUGCCCCUCUUCCGGCGGAAUUUUGAUAGCUACCAUCUCGUUCUGCUCAGAAUGCCCUGGAAAUUACAAAUCCUGUUCUAAUUUCUA
rnacentral:lncRNA from 1 species